rnacentral:rRNA from 1 species
CAGCCGCCGCGGUAAUACAGAGGGUGCGAGCGUUAAUCGGAUUUACUGGGCGUAAAGCGUGCGUAGGCGGCUUCUUAAGUCGGAUGAGAAAUCCCUGAGCUUAACUUAGGAAUUGCAUUCGAUACUGGGAAGCUAGAGUAUGGGAGAGGAUGGUAGAAUUCCAGGUGUAGCGGUGAAAUGCGUAGAGAUCUGGAGGAAUACCGAUGGCGAAGGCAGCCAUCUGGCCUAAUACUGACGCUGAGGUACGAAAGCAUGGGGAGCAAACAGGAUUAGAUACCCCGGUAGUCCCUGUCUCUUAUAC